AUAAAUUUUUACUGAGAGUCGUAUAGGAAUCUAUAAUCUAGUACUUUCCAAAAUACGCCGAGAGUAUUCCUGAUGGUGAAACGAGCGUUGCUUCAUCGAACGCAGCUAAAGAAAACAACAUCUAUGUAGUUGGUGGUACGAUGCCUGAAAUAGGGGGCGAUAAAUUGUACAAUACCUGUACUAUUUGGGGUCCCGAUGGAACUUUGAUAGCAAAACACCGAAAGGUACAUCUAUUCGACAUCGACAUUCCUAAUAAGAUUACUUUUCGAGAGAGUGAUUCACUCAGUCCUGGUAACUCCCUAACGACGUUCGAUGUGAAGGGCUGCAAAAUAGGUAUUGGCAUUUGCUAUGAUAUUAGAUUCGAGGAAAUGGCACGCAUUUAUCGGAACAAAGGUUGCCAAAUGCUGAUAUAUCCAGCGGCAUUCAAUAUGACCACUGGACCACUGCACUGGUCAUUACUUCAGCGUUUCAGAGCGAAUGAUAAUCAAUUAUACGUUGCCUGCAUAUCACCGGCUCGUGUUCCUUAAGCAAGUUACGUCGCAUGGGGACAUACACAGUUGACCAAUCCCUGGGGAAAGAUUCUUUACGAUUUGGAAACUCAAGAGAAUAUGGCAGUCACCGAUAUCGAUCUAAAAGUUGUUGAGGAAGUAAGGGCUCAGAUACCUACAUUUUCUCAGAGACGUACAGAUUUGUACGACACUGUCUGUAAGAAGGAGUAACUCUACACUAAAACAGAAAAUGUUUUUUUAUAAUAUUUCUACUACGAUAUCCUUUUUUUGUGAAUUAUUACUAAUUUCUUAUCAUUUGUACUAAAUGAAUGACUCAAUUAAGAAAACCAAAACGUUAUAAAUAAUAAUCUGUAUAUCUUGUGUAUCAACAUGUAAUUGGAUAUUAUAAUAAUAUAGGAAUGCUAUAAUAAUAUAGGAUAA